rnacentral:rRNA from 1 species
UCCCAAAAAUAAACGUCCCAGUUCGGAUUGUAGUCUGCAACUCGACUACAUGAAGCUGGAAUCGCUAGUAAUCGCGAAUCAGCAUGUCGCGGUGAAUACGUUCCCGGGUCUUGUACACACCGCCCGUCACACCAUGGGAGUCGGUAACGCCCGAAGUCAGUGACCCAACCGGAAGGAGGGAGCUGCCGAAGGCGGGACUGGUAACUGGGGUGAAGUCGUAACAAGGUACC